GACAAAUGAUAGAAGGAUGAAGGUCAAAUGGAAACCUCCAGAGGUCUCAAGUCAACAGAAGCAACAUAUAUGUGAAGAGUUAUUUCAGAAAGGGGGUUUUGGAAGGGGUUUUCAAAGAGAGUGACCCAUCUUCAAAGCAUCUCUGAAGGGACUUUAGUGCCAUUGAACAUCAAAGACUGAACACUGUUACCACAGACCAAGUCCCUUAUUUUUUUUAAAAAGACACAACCAACCCAGAGAGGCAAAUUAGCCCUUGGUUAUACAAGAAGUUGUAAGAAGCA
rnacentral:lncRNA from 1 species